rnacentral:rRNA from 1 species
UUUAACUGAAGAGUUUGAUCAUGGCUCAGAUUGAACGCUGGCGGCAGGCUUAACACAUGCAAGUCGAGCGGGGGAAGGUAGCUUGCUACCGGACCUAGCGGCGGACGGGUGAGUAAUGCUUAGGAAUCUGCCUAUUAGUGGGGGACAACAUCUCGAAAGGGAUGCUAAUACCGCAUACGUCCUACGGGAGAAAGCAGGGGAUCUUCGGACCUUGCGCUAAUAGAUGAGCCUAAGUCGGAUUAGCUAGUUGGUGGGGUAAAGGCCUACCAAGGCGACGAUCUGUAGCGGGUCUGAGAGGAUGAUCCGCCACACUGGGACUGAGACACGGCCCAGACUCCU